GUGGCGUGGCUGGGCGAGGACGGCCGGGCCCUGGCCACGGCGACGUCGGCGCCGGCCGUCCAGGCCAACGGGAUGAUGGCGGCCGAGGGCGUGGCCGCGGUGGCCGCCGAGGCCUGGGAGUCCGGGCAGGUCUUCACGUGCCGCGUGUCGCACCCCGAGCUGCUCUACCCGCGGGAGGUGACCUUGAGGAAGGCCGCCGUCCCGGACGCGUCCCCGCCCUCCAUCUACCUGCUGGCCCCGCCCCCCGAGCAGCUCCGCCUCCACACCUGGGCCACCCUCACCUGCCUGGUGCGCGACUUCAACCCGCCCGACCUGCUCGUCCAAUGGCUGCAGGACGGCCGGCCCCUCCCGCCCGGCCGCGCCCUCACCUUCCGGCCCCGCCCCGACAACGGCCACGCCCCUUCCGGCCACGCCCACCUGGCCGUCAGCACCUUGACGGUGCCGGCGCGGGACUGGGAGGGCGGCGGCGUCUUCACCUGCCUGGUGGGGCACGAGCGGCUGCCGCUGCGGCUGGCGCAGAGGUCGCUGGACAAGGCUGCCGGUAAACCCGCCAACGUCAACGUUUCCCUCAUUUUCAGUGAUGCCUUGAGUGGUUGUUACUGAUUUUGGGGUUUUUUUCCCCAAAAAAAUGCACUUUG